rnacentral:rRNA from 1 species
GGUUAAGCGACUAAGCGUACACGGUGGAUGCCCUGGCAGUCAGAGGCGAUGAAGGACGUGCUAAUCUGCGAUAAGCGUCGGUAAGGUGAUAUGAACCGUUAUAACCGGCGAUUUCCGAAUGGGGAAACCCAGUGCAAUUCGUUGCACUAUCGUUAAGUGAAUACAUAGCUUAACGAAGCGAACCGGGGGAACUGAAACAUCUAAGUACCCCGAGGAAAAGAAAUCAACCGAGAUUCCCCCAGUAGCGGCGAGCGAACGGGGAGCAGCCCAGAGUCUGAAUCAGCGCGUGUGUUAGUGGAACGGUCUGGAAAGUCCGGCGGUACAGGGUGAUAGCCCCGUACACUAAAAUGCACACGUUGUGAACUCGAAGAGUAGGGCGGGACACGUGGUAUCCUGUCUGAAUAUGGGGGGACCAUCCUCCAAGGCUAAAUACUCCUGACUGACCGAUAGUGAACCAGUACCGUGAGGGAAAGGCGAAAAGAACCCCGGCGAGGGGAGUGAAAAAGAACCUGAAACCGUGUACGUACAAGCAGUGGGAGCCUACUUGUUAGGUGACUGCGUACCUUUUGUAUAAUGGGUCAGCGACUUAUAUUCUGUAGCAAGGUUAACCGUAUAGGGGAGCCGCAGGGAAACCGAGUCUUAACUGGGCGUUAAGUUGCAGGGUAUAGACCCGAAACCCGGUGAUCUAGCCAUGGGCAGGUUGAAGGUUGGGUAACACUAACUGGAGGACCGAACCGACUAAUGUUGAAAAAUUAGCGGAUGACUUGUGGCUGGGGGUGAAAGGCCAAUCAAACCGGGAGAUAGCUGGUUCUCCCCGAAAGCU